CCUACGGGUGGCAGCAGUGGGGAAUAUUGCACAAUGGGCGCAAGCCUAAUGCAGCCAUGCCGCGUGUAUGAAGAAGGCCUUCGGGUUGUAAAGUACUUUCAGCGGGGAGGAAGGUGUUGUGGUUAAUAACCACAGCAAUUGACGUUACCCGCAGAAGAAGCACCGGCUAACUCCGUGCCAGCAGCCGCGGUAAUACGGAGGGUGCAAGCGUUAAUCGGAAUUACUGGGCGUAAAGCGCACGCAGGCGGUCUGUCAAGUCGGAUGUGAAAUCCCCGGGCUCAACCCGGGAACUGCAUUCGAAACUGGCAGGCUAGAGUCUUGUAGAGGGGGGUAGAAUUCCAGGUGUAGCGGUGAAAUGCGUAGAGAUCUGGAGGAAUACCGGUGGCGAAGGCGGCCCCCUGGACAAAGACUGACGUUCAGGUGCGAAAGCGUGGGGAGCAAACAGGAUUAGAUACCCCGGUAG
rnacentral:rRNA from 1 species